GUGUUGCAUGCAGGUGGCCCAGGGCUGUGAGUUUUGGGAUGUAUGCUGGUGCAGCUGCAUCAUGAGCUUGACGUAAGGGGGACGGCAGCCCAGGAGGGGCUGGGUUGGCUCCUCCCCUCCGGUGCCGUGGAGUUGUUUUCUUAUCUGGGCCCAGAUGAUGGCCGUGAUGGCGGGCCCCCCUCCUCUGCUCCUUCGCGGCUGCUCUCCUCUGAGCCUGCUGCAGCCACAUGCUCGCAGGCUUCAGCCCCGGAUCUCCUAUCUUCUCCCUUCUCUUUUCCACGCGCAGAAAAAAGAAAAUUCUACCACACUCUCUCAAUCAGUCAUCCAACUUUAUUACAUUCACACGGUCCGGACCCACUCACUCUCAAUGUUUAAUUUGUAUUUUAUUUAAGGUGAAAAUUAAAACAAAACCGUUUUUACGCAGCUUUGACAGUAUUUAUAUAAUUUUUAAUUCAUUAAACCGAAAUUAUUUAUUAGAGCAAACAAUUAUUUAGGUUUUAUUCCCUAUUGCAUAUGCUCUGUUCUAUCGGACCGAUAUAGGUUAAUUCCCGUUUUAACCUAAUGGGCUCUUUUAGCCCGGUAUACCUUUUCCCUUUUUACCCUAAAAUUUCACAGCGCGUACUUAUCCUUCCGUGUACGGCAACGUUUGCAUCAGAAACGUGUGUAAGUAUAUUCAAUGAUAUCCAUUACAUGGUUUCCUCUGCACGUAUAAUUACUUUUACUUCACAACUCAGCGCUUGUACUUUUGCCCGUGUACAUUAACGGUCGUUUCAGAUUUGUGUAAGCACAAUUAGUUACUGGUCAUUACACAACGUCCUACUGCGAAUCUUCCCAUACAAUUCAUAAAAUUAUUAAACUUGAACUGACCUGGCUCGCGCCCUCGAAAGACGUCACCGUCCAGAGGGCGACGAUUGGAGGGUCCUAUGGCCGGCCUCGGUCAAUCCUGCGAAGUCCGAGGUCUUUGUUUCACGGCCCCCCCCUAAGGGACCGCACUGCUAGCAGAUUUCGGCCUCCUUCCCCCGUCGUCCUCCUGGAACGGAUGUCGUCUUCCGGGUUUCGGCACCAAGUUGUCAGGAAUAAAAAUGUAAGACUCUCUUCAAGAUGAAUAAAAACACGAACCAGUCCAGUUCAGCUUCAAAACACUCUUUUGCAAAAGGGAGGCGGUGGAGAAGAGAGAA